rnacentral:piRNA from 1 species
UAUCCGAGACGUGGUUAAAGCCAGGAUA